rnacentral:lncRNA from 12 species
CACCGUGGGAGCCCGAGGGCUCACCUGAGACCUCAGGGCGGCUGGCGGGGCGGGACCGGGGGGGCGGAGGAGGCAGGGCGUGGGGGCCUGCAGUCCCCCCGGGGACCCCGGCUGGAGGGAAGGAAGCAGGAGCCCCCUGGAGCGGAUCGGGAGGUCCCACGGAGCACGGAUUGCAGGACGCGCCAGGGAGAACGAGGCCCGGGGGGUUCACUCCCAGGAGUGGAAAGAACAUGACACCCAACCCUGCACCUCCAUUCAAGGAGCGCGACGAUCGUGGGGUGAGGUGAUGCUUCCCAGGGAAGGGGGCCAGGGACGAGGAACGACAGGAUUCCCCGCACCUCGUUGCCCACACGAAGCUGAGCCUUCCACCGUGGAUGCUGCAGCACGAGUUCGACUUCACCCUCUCUGCAGACAGGCUGUUCUCCCUGGGGGAGCAAGCAGGGAGGGGCCUCGAGGACGAGGCCUCACAUUGACUGGCAGAAACUGAUGCCCAGCUGGUGACAACGGCCCAGGUGUCCCCAGGCCACGCAGGUGCCACAGGAAACUCCCACGGUCACACACCUCGGCUCUCGACCCACGCUGGGCGGGACUUGUGUGGGCAGAAGGACAAACAGCGAGCGCCCGCCGGUGGGAAGCUGUCACAGACCACCCCACGCUGCUUCCGCGGGACCCGCUUGUCCCCUCCUGUCCUCCACACGGCUGGGUCCUCCCAGCUCCUGAGGAAGGUUCCCUCCUGUGACCACGGGGGGGGGGGGGGGGGGGGAAUAAAAAAGGGAAAGGGAAGGCA